rnacentral:rRNA from 1 species
UACGUAGGGUGCAAGCGUUAAUCGGAAUUACUGGGCGUAAAGCGUGCGCAGGCGGUUUUGUAAGUCUGUCGUGAAAUCCCCGGGCUUAACCUGGGAAUGGCGAUGGAGACUGCAAGGCUAGAGUUUGGCAGAGGGGGGUAGAAUUCCGACGUGUAGCAGUGAAAUGCGUAGAGAUGUGGAGGAACACCGAUGGCGAAGGCAGCCCCCUGGGUCGAAGCACUGACGCUCAUGCACGAAAGCGUGGGGAGCAAACAG